rnacentral:rRNA from 1 species
CAAAAACAUAGCUAUUAGAAGUAUUAGUAGUUUUUUCUGCUCAAUGAAUUUUUAAAUAGCCGCAGUACCCUGACUGUGCAAAGGUAGCAUAAUCAGUUGGCUUAUAAUUGAAGUCUAGAAUGAAUGAAUGAAUGUGUAAAUAACUGUAUCAUAAAUAUAACAUAAAAUUACUCAGAUAGUGAAAAUACUAUCAUCUAAAUAAUAGACGAGAAGACCCUAGAAAUUUUUACAAACUGUAAAUUAUGGUUUUUGUUGGGGCAACAGUGUAUCMAAAUAUACAGUAUAGACAUGAAAUUUUUUUGAUAGAUUAAAUUACUCUAGGGAUAACAGCGUAAUACGGAAGUGUUUGCGACCUCGAUGUUGGAUUAGGAAGCCAAAUGUUUAGAAGACUGUUGUSAUGCUCUGUUCGA